rnacentral:rRNA from 1 species
UACGUAGGCAGCAAGCGUUGUUCGGAGUUACUGGGCGUAAAGGGUGCGUAGGCGGCCUUAUAAGUCCGGGGUGAAAGCCCGUUGCUUAACAACGGAACUGCCCUGGAUACUGUGAGGCUUGAGUACAGACGAGGUUGGCGGAAUGGACCGAGUAGCGGUGAAAUGCAUAGAUACGGUCCAGAACCCCGAUUGCGAAGGCAGCUGACUAGGCUGUUCUGACGCUGAGGCACGACAGCGUGGGGAGCGAACAGG